rnacentral:rRNA from 1 species
GACGAACGCUGGCGGCGUGCCUAACACAUGCAAGUAGAACGCCGUUGCGAACGGGUGAGUAACGCGUAGGUAACUGCCUCAUAGCGGGGGAUAACUAUUGGAAACGAUAGCUUAUUCCGCCUUCUGUGAGAUGGACCUGCGUUGUAUUAGCUAGUUGGUGAGGUAAAGGGUCACCAAGGCGGCGAUACAUUGCCGGCCUGGGAGGGUUGUCGGCCAAACUGGGACUGGAGACCGGCCCAAACUCCCACGGGAGGGAGCAGUAGGGAAACUUCGGCAAUGGGCGGAAAGCUUGCCGAACAACGGCGCGGGAGUGAAGAAGGUUUUCGGAGCGGAAAGGUCUGUUGUGAGAGGAGCGGUAACUAACCAGGAAGGGACGGCUAACUACGUGCCAGCAGCCGCGGUAAUAC